AUCAACAUAGAGUGAUUUUUGGAACAAGAAGACUAUUCAUUCUUGCAAGGCACAAUUCUAGCAAGUUGAAGAACUAAGUGGAAAAGAUUUUGGAAAGGCCAAGAGUUAGGUGGGGUGACUAAGGAAGCGGACAAGGUACACCCAGACAAGUAGAAGUUACCAUAGAAGAUGUUGCAGCAGGG